CAUGCAGNUCGUACGAGAAAUCCUNCUGCUUGGCAGGGGAGAGUAAAGUGGCGCACGGGUGAGUAUCGUGUGGGUAAUCUACCCUUGAAUUCAGGAUAACACUUCGAAAGGGGUGCUAAUACUGGAUAAAAUCCUGAUGGUUUAGAUCAUAAGGAUCAAAGAUAGCCUCUACAUGUAAGCUAUAGUUCAGGGAUGAGCCCGCGUACCAUUAGCUAGUUGGUGGGGUAAGAGCCUACCAAGGCAACGAUGGUUAGCUGGUCUGAGAGGAUGAUCAGCCACACUGGAACUGAAACACGGUCCAGACUCCUACGGGAGGCUGCAGUCGAGGAUCAUUCGCAAUGGGGGCAACCCUGACGAUGCGACGCUGCGUGGAGGACGACGGCCUUCGGGUUGUAAACUCCUGUCAUGAGGGAAGAGGGGAGGGUGAGUAACACUCACACCGACUUGACGGUACCUCAAGAGGAAGCCACGGCUAACUCUGUGCCAGCAGCCGCGGUAAUACAGAGGUGGCGAGCGUUGUUCGGAUUUACUGGGCGUAAAGGGCGCGUAGGCGGCCGUGUGUGUCGGGUGUGAAAUCUCUGGGCUCAACCCAGAAAGUGCGCCCGAAACUGCACGGCUCGAGUUCGGGAGGGGGGAUCGGAAUGCAGGGUGUAGCGGUGAAAUGCGUUGAUAUCCUGCAGAACACCGGUGGCGAAGGCGGAUCCCUGGAACGAAACUGACGCUGAGGCGCGAAAGCAGGGGGAGCAAACAGGAUUAGAUACCCUGGUAGUCCCUGCCUUAAACGGUGCACACUUGACGCGGGGGGGAUUUCACCCCCCCCGUGUCGGAGCUAACGCGUUA
rnacentral:rRNA from 1 species